rnacentral:rRNA from 1 species
RGGUCAAGCCUGCCCGGUGACAAAGUUUAACGGCCGCGGUACCCUAACCGUGCGAAGGUAGCAUAAUCACUUGUUCUUUAAAUAGGGACUAGUAUCAACGGCAUCACGAGGGUUACACUGUCUCCUUUCCCCAAUCAGUGAAACUGAUCUCCCCGUGAAGAAGCGGGGAUAUAAAUAUAAGACGAGAAGACCCCAUGGAGCUUUAAGCUCAACAACACCUCGCUACAAAUAUACCACUGUAACCCACGAGCCCUGUCUGUUAGCUUUAGGUUGGGGUGACCGCGGAGUAUAAUAUAACCUCCACGACGAAUAGGCCUAAGACCUCUAUCCAAGARCCACUGCUCUAAGAAUCAUUAAAUUGACGUAAAAUGAUCCGAUUUUCGAUCAACGAACCAAGUUACCCUGGGGAUAACAGCGCAAUCCAUUUCAAGAGCCCCUAUCGACAAAUGGGUUUACGACCUCGAUGUUGGAUCARGGUAUCCUAGUGGUGCAGCCGCUACUAAAGGUUCGUUUGUUCAACGAUUAAAACCCUACAUGAUCUGAGUUCAAACCGG